UCCAGACUUCACAGUUGACAAACAAGGGGUCAUUUACAGUUAAAAAAACAUCCAAGGAGGAGCAUGUGGAGAUUCAGACAUUAACCGUCCUGAUUCACUACAGCCAUCGGGUGUCCGGCAUUAACAUCAGCCAGUGAGGGAAUGGGUCCUUGGAAAUCAAUGAACGCUGCCAUACUGCCCACUUUACUUCUGUCCUUCUCUUUGCCCCAAACUGGGCUCAAACCAAGGACCCUCUGAACACAUCAACAACAGUCAUCCAUGAAGUAUUGUUACCUAUCACCAUAUCAUGCACAAUGUGACUGCUAUGUAGGCCAAAUGCACUUGACUAUCAUCCUGAGCUCUGACUUGUUCCACAUGCUGACCUCUGAAGUCACCAACUAAGGAAAUUAGCUCGUUUUCAGCAGUUAAAUGCAACAAUAGUUAAAUCCGAUCUAUUUAAAUGUUUUUUGAACACUCUGAUUUGUUAACAAGCAUGUCACCUUGGUUACGAACGGAGCAUAACUAAUGAUCAGUGACAGUUAUUGUUGUGUUUUAUAUGUUGUACAGUGUGUUUAUAAUUGUGCUUAAUUCAAAUGUUUAUUUUAAAAACUUGGAAUACAAUGUUAUUUCUUUAAAACAUUUAUGUGUAUGCUAUGUCGUGAGCCUCCUCUACUUCCUGGAAUCCAACGUAGCUUGGGGUCAGCAUUGGGGUCAGAGUUGGGGUCAGGGUAUUUAGAUCGAACUGCUGGGAGUACCCGGCGUUGGCCUCGACCAAGACUUCCUCCCAUCAGCAUUCACUCCAAAGUGAACCUGUAGGAAACCAGUCUAUUUUGUCUAGACAAAUACAUGACAAUGUAUUAUACAACAAUAACAAAUAUGAAAUAGGUCUAGGCCUAUACAACAUAAAAUGUAACAAUAGUCUCAGGGCUCAUUGGGCCAAUUCAUUUACAAGGCAUAUUGAUGAUGGCACAAAACUAUUGACACUUAUCUUGGUCUUGUAGACUUGAAGACUGUGUGACCAACUCAUUGUUGAAAGGGGAUGAGUGAUCAAGUGUGAGGCUGUUUGUCUUCCUCUAUAGGGUGUGGGUUUACAGGAUAAUCAAGAUACUAGUGUGAGGCUGUUUGUCGUCCUCUUUAGGGUGUGGGUUUACAGGAUAAUCAAGAUACUAGUGAGGCUGUUUGUCGUCCUCUUUAGGGUGUGGGUUUACAGGAUAAUCAAGAUACUAGUGUGAGGCUGUUUGUCGUCCUCUUUAGGGUGUGGGUUUACAGGAUAAUCAAGAUACUAGUGUGAGGCUGUUUGUCGUCCUCUUUAGGGUGUGGGUUUAUAGGAUAAUCAAGAUACUAGUGGUGUGACAGCUAGACCGGCAAAUGCAAGCAACAUUUUGUUCACUACAACUAUUGACUUUAUACUUCUUACAUUGUUUGGAAAUAUAGUAUAUUUAAUAUUUAGACCAUAUUGUGAAGUGAGCAUCCCAUACAUUCUAUUUCUAUGGUGCAUCAACUCGUUCUAGACACUGUUUCCCCGGCCAGCAUGUCAUCAUUGUCAGACAAACUUUAAGGGGAGACUACAGUAGCCAGUUAUAUUAUGGAGUGUAGGCAGGUUACUAAAACACAUUCAACAAAACACGUAGACUUCAGAGACAGUGGGUGGGGUUAUAUCCUUCCUGUUUGGCCCUGUCCGGGGCUGUCCUCGGAUGGGGCCACAGUGUCUCAGGAAGGUAAGUUGGUGGUUGAAGAUAUCCCUCUAGUGGUGUGGGGGCUGUGCUUUGGCAGAGUGGGUGGGGUUAUAUCCUUCCUGUUUGGCCCUGUCCGGGGCUGUCCUCGGAUGGGGCCACAGUGUCUCAGGAUGGUAAGUUGGUGGUUGAAGAUAUCCCUCUAGUGGUGUGGGGUCUGUGCUUUGGCAGAGUGGGUGGGGUUACAUCCUUCCUGUUUGGCCCUGUCCGGGGCUGUCCUCGGAUGGGGCCACAGUGUCUCAGGAUGGUAAGUUGGUGGUUGAAGAUAUCCCUCUAGUGGUGUGGGGGCUGUGCUUUGGCAGAGUGGGUGGGGUUACAUCCUUGCUGUUUGGCCCUGUCCGGGGCUGUCCUCGGAUGGGGCCACAGUGUCUCAGGAUGGUAAAUUGGUGGUUGAAGAUAUCCCUCUAGUGGUGUGGGGGCUGUGCUUUGGCAGAGUGGGUGGGGUUAUAUCCUUCCUGUUUGGCCCUGUCCGGGGCUGUCCUCGGAUGGGGCCACAGUGUCUCAGGAUGGUAAGUUGGUGGUUGAAGAUAUCCCUCUAGUGGUGUGGGGGCUGUGCUUUGGCAGAGUGGGUGGGGUUACAUCCUUCCUGUUUGGCCCUGUCCGGGGCUGUCCUCGGAUGGGGCCACAGUGUCUCAGGAUGGUAAGUUGGUGGUUGAAGAUAUCCCUCUAGUGGUGUGGGGUCUGUGCUUUGGCAGAGUGGGUGGGGUUACAUCCUUCCUGUUUGGCCCUGUCCGGGGCUGUCCUCGGAUGGGGCCACAGUGUCUCAGGAUGGUAAGUUGGUGGUUGAAGAUAUCCCUCUAGUGGUGUGGGGGCUGUGCUUUGGCAGAGUGGGUGGGGUUACAUCCUUGCUGUUUGGCCCUGUCCGGGGCUGUCCUCGGAUGGGGCCAAAGUGUCUCAGGAUGGUAAGUUGGUGGUUGAAGAUAUCCCUCUAGUGGUGUGGGGGCUGUGCUUUGGCAGAGUGGGUGGGGUUAUAUCCUUCCUGUUUGGCCCUGUCCGGGGCUGUCCUCGGAUGGGGCCACAGUGUCUCAGGAUGGUAAGUUGGUAGUUGAAGAUAUCCCUCUAGUGGUGUGGGGGCUGUGCUUUGGCAGAGUGGGUGGGGUUAUAUCCUUCCUGUUUGGCCCUGUCCGGGGCUGUCCUCGGAUGGGGCCACAGUGUCUCAGGAUGGUAAGUUGGUGGUUGAAGAUAUCCCUCUAGUGGUGUGGGGGCUGUGCUUUGGCAGAGUGGGUGGGGUUAUAUCCUUCCUGUUUGGCCCUGUCCGGGGGUGUCCUCGGAUGGGGCCACAGUGUCUCCUGACCCCUCCUGUCUCAGCCUCCAAUAUUUAUGCUGCAGUAGUUUGUGUCAGGGGGCUAGGGUCAGUUUGUUAUAUCUGGAGUACUUCUCCUGUCUUAUCCUGUGUCCUGUGUGAAUUUAAGUAUGCUCUCUCUAAUUCUCUCUUUCUCUCUUUCUUUCUUUCUUUCUUUCUUUCUUUCUUUCUUUCUUUCUUUCUUUCUUUCUUUCUUUCUUUCUUUCUUUCUUUCUGUCUUUCUUCCUCUCGGAGGACCUGAGCCUUAGGACCCUGCCUCAGGACUACCUGGCAUGAUGACUCCUUGCUAUCCCCAGUCCACCUGGCCCAUGCUGCUGCUCCAGUUUCAGCUGUUCUGUCUGUGAUUAUUAUUAUUUGACCAUUUAUGGACAUUUGAACAUCUUGGCCAUGUUCUGUUAUAAUCUCCACCCGGCACAGCCAGAAGAGGACUGGCCACCCCACAUAGCCUGGUUCCUCUCUAGGUUUCUUCCUAGGUUUUGGCCUUUCUAGUGAGUUUUCCUAUCCACCGUGCUUCAACAUCUGCAUUGCUUACUGUUUGGGCUGGGUUUCUGUACAGCACUUUGAGAUAUCAGCAGAUGUACGAAGGGCUAUAUAAAUACAUUUGAUUUGAUUUGAGCUUCCCAUUUAGACUGUCAAGUGUGGCAUGUCGCUUCCAGUUGAUCCUGGUCUGAAAAACGUUUCCAGGACCCCAGGAUUGAUGAGAUACGAAAAUUCUGAGUGUUUACACACACACAAGUCCUGUUCUUCUGCAUCGUCGGUCUGAUGCUCGACCUCCUCCAUCAUGGCAAUUAGCUGGUCCCCCCCUCCCGACAGCAGAGACAUUCUAACUCUGUUGGCAGAGGUAGGCAUCUCCCGCAACUUCACCACCAGUCACGGUCUGUUCGAGGAAGAGCCUGUGGUUCCUUGACUUUCCUUCGUUCCUGUCUCGCUCUUUCUCUUCUCUCUUGGUCUACCCAGGAAGUGUACCAAUUCCAGCUCUGCUCUGUUAACUCCGGCUCAAAACGGUAAGGCACUUUGUACCAUUAUGAAAAUACAUGUACAGCCGGUCGUCCCUGUCAUUUUAUUGGUCCGAAAGAAAUCACUUAUAAUAUACAUCUAUAUCCUUAAGCAAUGGACCUAAAAACUGUCUGGGGUGAUGACAAAUGGCCAGGCAAGUGUUAUAAAGGUCCUAGAAGUUUUUUGGGGCUGAACUGGUCCACCAGUCUUACUAGCAUUUACAAUUAAGUUAUUUACGACAAUAAGGACAUAUCAUAAGGCCUUUUGGAGGCCUAGUUAUACCCUAAUACAGUGGUGUUGGGAAACUCCUGGUUUACAGGCCACCUCAAGCCUGCAAAGCACAUUACACCAGCUUGCAAAAUGGUGUAACUCCUAUUGGAAUCCAGCUGGAGUUAGGAUAUCCAACCAAUGCCACUGUCUUUAAUCACCUACAACCUGCAUUCAGAAGGACUGCCAAGGUAGGGGUAGUUGAAUAUUUAGACUGCCUCAAUCAUAUAAACUGGAACAACCAUCCCAGUAACGGGUGCAAGAAAUUGUAUAACUACUAUCAUAUUGGAUUAGUUUAGAAAAAUGUUAUUUAUCUUUGUGUAGCAUUAAAUUAAUCAACCAAUCAAUGUCCAUGUCAUUGGUAAAAAACAACAAACGUGCAAAAACGCAGAUAUUAAAGCAAACUAGUCUAAAAAUGUAACUGCAAUAGAGCAUGCUGGGAAAUAUGGCUCUAUGUAGAAUCCUUCUGGCAUUCCAAAGAAUCAUCAAAUAACCCUUUCUUUCAAAAAUAUUUUUUAGGAUGUUAAAGGUUCUAGGUAGAACCUUUUGCCUUUCAAAGAACCCUCGUCUUCCAAAAAGGUUCUUCAGAUGAAAACGGUUCUUGGUAGAACCCUAUCCCUCCACGGAGAACUGUUUUGGAACCAUUUUCGCUAAGAGUGUAGUGACGCCCAAAUGAUUCAGCGCAUAUGCCCGUGGGUCAAGGACCAACAAACAUGUGCAACACAAAUGGGACCCUAGUCCCUAUAUAGUGCACUACUAAAUGCGUCACAAAUGACAAUGCGUCACCGCCAGUAUGGGCCCUGGUCAAUAGUAGUGCACUGGCUAGUGCAGAGGACAGCCUAUCAUAAUUCCUAUUAGCGAGAAAUGGAUAAAACAAUGCCUUCGUCCUCUCUGUCUCUCUCUCGCUCUCUGUUUAUCCCAAGGGCGAGAGAUAUAGUUUUAUCCGAUAAUUAAUUUAUUUUUUAAAUUCUACUGCAACAUCCACCCAUCCUCUCCUCCCUUCUCCAUAGUGGACAGACUAACAUUAGACGUUACAUAGGCUAUAGGGAUCACUAACACAAAUGAAUGGCUUGAUAGAGACAAAUUAUACAUUGAAUUCCUAUCUCUUCGGAGGCCCCCAUUUUCAUUAAUUUCCUCUCACUGCAAAACUCUUUGUCCUCAUCUUGUCUUUUCAAAUCCCCCAUUUGUUUCCCUUUAUUGUGUAACAUAUUUAAUCCUCUCUAGUAUUAUUUAAUGAAUGACUAUGUAGAAGGAGAGAGGGAGAGAAGAAAAGUUUAAAUUGGAACUAUAGAGAGGACAUGAGGGACUGCUUUGGCCUGAAUGACUGGAGUCUCUCAGUGGCUAGUCAAACACAGCUAAAGCAAAUGCUGAAACAAAUUGGUCUCUCUUUUAUUACCAUUUUCUCUCUUUCUAUCUCUCGUAUUCUUUUCUCUGUGUCUCUCGCUCUCUCUCUCUUUUAUUACCAUUUUCUCUCUUUCUAUCUCUCGUAUUCUCUUUCUAUCUCUCCUACAUUAUUUUCUCUGUGACUCUCUCUCUCUUUUGUUUCUCUCUCCCUCUCUCUGCCCCCCAUCUCUCUUUCUCUCUCUCUUCACAGAGUCAUCGAUGUGGGGGACAGUACAAAUCUAAAGUGUUAAUUUAAAGAAGUACAGUCCAAAUGGGCUUCUGUUCCUUGCAGGUAUAAUAAUCACUAGGAUCUAUAAUUAAAUUAAUCAGAGAUCAGCUUCGAAUCACUUUUCAUUGCCGAGCAACCAGCAGACCUUGGAUUUAUCCUGUUCGCUGUACUGGCUCAAGCUGCUUCACUUUCCACAUUACAUCCUUACCCUUACCACUCCCUCCUCAUCCUCCAUCUAUCUAUUGCCCCAUCAUCUUCUCAUCUUUCCUAGUAUCCUCCCCCAAUUCCAGACCCAUGUCAUCCUUUCUCUACCUCUCAUCCUCUCCUAUUCCAUUACAGUGUAACCCUCCUUACUCCUCUGUUCCCCUUUGACCGUUAUUAUUAUCAUUAGUGGUAGUAUUAUUAUUAGUAUUAUUAGUAUCCCCUCUGCCACCCUAUAUUUCAUCUAUUACUUCAUGUCCUAUUCCCUUCCAAUUCUCACUCCUCUCCUCCUCUCCUCCAAUCCUCUGUUCCACUCCCCUAUCCUCCUCACUCCUCUAUUCCCCUCCAAUUCUCACUCCUCUCCUACUCUCCUCCAAUCCUCUGAUCCCCUCACCUCUCCUCCUCAC
ensembl:lncRNA